GGCUAGGGGUCCAAUCAAAGCUGUAGCCACCGGCCUACGCCAGAGCCACAGCAACGCAGGAUCUGAGCCGCGUCUGCGACCUACACCACAGCUCACGGCAAUGCCAGAUCCUUAAUCCACUGAGCAAGGCCAGGGAUCGAACCCGCAACCUCAUGGUUCCUAGUCGGAUUCGUUAACCACUGUGCCAUGACGGGAACUCCUAGAGGGAAACAUUUUUUUCACAAAGCACAUUAAAACAUUCCAAGUGUAUGAUAUGACUGUGCUAGUGGAACUCAGGGACAUGAAGAGGAAUGGGGAAGCCUAUUUUGGCAGAUAUAGUGGUGGUCAUAGAGUAGGAGAUGCUUGAAUGGCAUUUGGAAGAUGUGCUCAUUAUCUAGAGGGUAAGGAGAGAAUUCCUGGCUGAGAGAGAAGGGUGAGAAAGGGAGAGGGUUGUGUGAGAUCAUCGGGAAUGAGAGGUUGAGUGCUUUCAUCGAGCCUGGCAUUGUAGGAAUCACGUUGGAAUCAUAGGAAUAUUUCACAAGCUACUCUAGCUUUCUACCUUAAAGGGGUUUAGCACUGCUCUGUCCUUCAGUCUCUUAAAACAUUUUGAAUACAGAGUGAUGGAGGCCUGGACAAUGGUAUACCUAGACGUCCUUUCCCAUGAGGAUGGUGGGUGUGCAUGCCUUUGUGCAUAGAUGUGUUGAGUGCAUGUGUGUACUGUCACUCAUGCUUUGGAUGCAAAUGUAUGUGCUUCUUCCAUCAUACUGAGUUCUUGACACAGUAUCAUUUUUCAGCAUUAAAAUUCUCAUCACCUCCCAGAAGUGCUCCCUUUAGGAUCCAUUUCUGCUUGGCUCAGUGUGCACAAACAUUCCAAUGGGAUUGAUUGCUUAUGUCAAAUUAACUUUUUUCCUUCCGAGGGAGAGUGUCUGCCAUAUGCAAAAUGGGGAAAUCCCCAGGCCUCUAGCCAAAUGCAAGUGUGGAUAGACAAGGAGGCAGGCUUGGGUAAAGAACUGGUCUGGAAUGCCCACAGAGGCUGCACCUCAAUACUUAAGCUACCCUUUCCAGCAUGCUUUGUGGCUGUUCCUAGGUAAUAGGAAAACUUGAGGCUGGGUUGAGAUGGCUGCAUGUGAGAAGCUUGGGUCUUUUCAACAUUAGCUGUGGUACCAUUUCCUCUUCUAUGCCCCAUCCUCCUAUUACUCCUUUAUUUACAAGUUUGCAGAAGCCUCUGGAAGCAAAUGGAGAACAUGGUAACAUUCUCCUCCCAACUAUGUGCAAGCUUCAGAGAGCUCUAGGAUAGUUGUCCUUUCCGCCGUGUUCCUGAUGCUUUCCUGCAGGCUUUGGUGGACCCUCGGAAUGUAUCCCUUAAGCCUUUCCCAACAGGUAGCCUCUAGCUUUAUGCUGGCCAGACAGCCAGCCUUACCACAUUGUGUCUGACUCCAGACAGGAGACCAAGGACAUUCAGACUAUCUUUCCCACAGUUGGAACCGUUGAUCUACGGAUCUGUAAACAGUAGGGUGGUUUAGACUGUUCUGUCCACCAGUGAAUAAUUUGUAUCAUGGCAGCAGAAGCUUUGUGAGAUGUAUAAAGUCUCCCUAAGGAUGGUUAUGUAUUAUUUUCCUAUAACCUGGAAUUCUGGAUGUCCUGAUUAGCACUUAGUAGCUUUAAGUUCAACUUUGUGGGUUAUGAUUAUCAGUAGUUCUAACCAAAGUUUCUCUAGGAGUUUAUGAUCUAUAGUCUAGUUGAAUGUAGCUCUUUAAUUAGUGGGGUUAGGUCAAAUAUCUUAGCUCAUUUAGUUAACUGUUAACCUCAGGACCUUUGGAACUUGAAGGAAAAGGCUCGUGAAUUCCUCGUUCCAAAGGAUAAAAAAUGCUAAACAUCCACAUUAUCUGGUGUUACAAUUACUUUUUGGGGAGGGAGAAUCUGACUGCAAUGCCUGUUUUUUUUUUUUUUUUCCCUUGCUUUUUAGAGCUCUACCCCAUAGCAUAUGGAAGUUUCCAGGCUAGGGAUGGAAUCGGAGCUGCAGCUGCUGGCCUAUGCCACAGCCACAGCAAUGCCAGAUACGAGCUGCAUCUGUUGCUACACCACAGCUCACAGCAACUGAGCCAGGCCAGGAUCGAUGGAUACUGAGCCACAACGGGAUGUCUGAUUUUCGAGCCGGGUUAGCUGGGCUGCUGGAAGGGGGAGAGUUCACAGAAGGAAACUGACCGUUAGCCAGAGUGUUCCUCUCCCACCCAGUAUGUUCCUUGAAUCCGGAAGGACAUCACCUAAUUUCUUCUCUCUACUCUGGCCAGUGGCUAAACUCUUAUAGCUACUCAAUUGUUCUACCCGUUUGUUUAGAAGUAUAAUUUGAUUUGUUAUGUGUAGAGGUUAUUCUCUGACUGAGACUUUUUCCAGACCACCCUGAUUAUUCCAUCUAGUACUAUGGUAGAUGUUGAAAAAGUGUGUUUGUGAUUUCUCCCUUAGGUUUUAGUCCCUCCCCCACAAAGAGCCAGGCAGAUCCCCAGAUAAGGUCCUCUCUGACAGAGCCAUGGCCAAGUGUGUGAAGGUACCAUGUGCUACCUUAGGCUUCCCAGGCCCCAGGGCCAUGGAACUCUAGAUUUGGCAGGACGUGAUGGCAGGCAGAGGUGGCACCUUCAAAUCCAACUCUGAAUCUCCUUAAAGUAGAACAGAAGGCUAAUCCUCCUAGCACUCUGUGAGGUACUCUGGUGGGUGACAUUUUUUUCCAUGCCAAGACUUCAUUUCUUCUGUAUUUAAAUGGUUCUGCAUCCAGGUACACAUUUUAUUUGUUCCUUCCAGGACCCUUGAUAUGUGCACUCCUGAGGCUUUGUUCUCUGGGACGUUUCCAUUUCUGGGCUGUUGGAUUCAAUUUGAUCUUGCCAUAUAUCAGCUUAAACAGGAGAGCCUUGCAAAUUCCUGGAGAGCCUUUGUGGAGGUUAAGGACAAAGGAGGCAAUUUAUCUCUUCAAGUGUCAGGACUUUUAACCCUAUAUUUUUCAUCCUUUCCUUCAGGGUGGUUUAACCUUUUGCAGCUCCUUGCCUAAUAUGUCAUGUGUAUUCUGUGGUUGGAGCUGCACUUUCCAGAUACUGCUCAGUCCUUGAAAUGAAAUUUGCAGGAGUUCCUGUUGUGGCUUAGUGGGUUAAGGACCUGACAUUAUCCCUGUGAGGAUGCCCGUUUGAUCCCUGGCCUGGCUUAGUGGGUUAGGGAUUCAGCAUUGUCACAAGCUACUUAGAUUCAACCCCUGGCCUGGGAACUUCCAUAUGCCACAGGUGCAGCUGAAAAAAAGAAAGAAAUUUAAUAUGAUUGUCUUUUUUAAGGGGGAAGGAGGACUCCCCCAAAAUGUGAUCAGUAGAAGGCGGCCCUGCUUUAGAUGUCAGUAGAGACCCUCAUGAGUCUUCCGGGGACUAGUGGCACAGCUAUGGCUCCAGCGUGUUACAGAGGGGUGUGUCCCCUUCUGGAGUUGGGAGAGCUGUGUGCUGGCCACCUCUGUGAUCUUGGGCAGGGCACUGAACCUCCCUGGACCCAAGUUUCCUCACUGGGAAGUGAAGGUACUUGCUGAGGUUUCUUCCUUCUCUGAGUCAUUUUGAAAGUCUACAAGUUCUCUUCGAGAAUGUCCUUUAGGGGAGAAUCUUCUGCUUAUUUCGGCUCUGAGAAAAUGCCAAUCCUAUAAAGACUGGCUUGGGGGUGGGGAGAACCCUUGUUUUCACACAUUGCACACAGAAUUCAGAAUAAAUUGUCAUUGGCUGGUGUCUGUUCCCAGCCAUUGGAAAUCCAGCAAUGACAAACUCCCAGUCUUGCCAGUCUCUAAAUGAGCCAUACAGGAUAAGUUCUGGGCCAGUUUUAGUAUCCUUAGUUUAUACUUUUAUAGGACCCACCAGAUAUUUAUAGGCUUCCCAAGAAAGUGCAGUCAACAAUUUUGGGAUAACCAUAAUCUAUAUAUAACAACUACUCUUAAACAUGAUUUGUUUCCUCUCCUGGUCCAUAAAGAGGAUUUUUGAUAGGAGAAAAGUUUUGUUUGAAUUUUCUCAGAGCCUCUAACUUCUUUAAAUCGGAUGUUUGGCAAAUCUCCUUCCCCAGAAAGUUGUGUCUUGACUGGCCCUGCCAGAUCUUUUCCCUCCCUCGUAGAGGGAGCUGUAACUUCUUUUGAUGUGUGCUUCACCACAUUUGGCUUCAUGAAGAGCUGGCAUGGAGGGUCAUCCUCAGAGUACCUCUUCCUCUGGUACUCUGGAUUAAGCCUCCAGGGCCAUGUCCUGUUCUUUUUCUUAGGGCUGCUCCUGUUGCACCCCUUCUUCUGCCACUCUGUCUUCAGACAUGAGUAUUUUUCUGGAAGCUGGGCUGAGGAUGAGAACCUGGACUGGAGGAAACACAAGUUAGGUUUAAAGGUCAAGACAUUCUCAAAGUUUACAGAAUGACCAAGAGUCAGAACCAGAGAGGGUGGCCAGGUUAGAGUGGACCCUCAAGCCAGAUUCAGGAGAGCAAGGGGCCAGGGAUGAGGAAGGUAGAUAAUGGCCAAGAAGGUGAAAUGGAGCAAGGUCAGUCAAGGAAGGUAGUAAAAGAUUCACUCAGCAUCCAGGGCACCUGCAGAUGCUGAAGGGGCAACAGGACAGAGGGGAAUGGAUGUGAGUCUUUUUGACAGAGGAAAUCUCCUGGCUUCAGCCAGUCCCCAGCACCUGCAGGCACCAGCUCUCAAGUAGGAGGAGCCUAGAGCACGCAGCUGUGCAUAGUCUUGGAUGUCAUCAGCUAGUGUCCCCAUAACUCUCUUUCUGCAUCAGGUCAGCCCAUGAAGUUCUGCUGAUUUUGCUGCUCAUGGAUGUCCUCUCCAUUCAGUGAGCCUGCCAGCAUCCAAGCUUGUUCUCUAAGCCUGGGUUUACAAGGCUCAAACUACCCGACAAUAUUAAGAAAGUGAGACACUGGAAAUCCAAGUUCCCCACAGAACAUUAUCCUUUAGCCUUAGAGGGUUUGCAGAUAUGUAAAUGCCCCUUCAGUUUAUGGUAGCUGAGCUGCCUGUAUGUCUUCCUGUCCUUUUGGCUGAUGCUACAUCUUUGUGUUCCUGAGGUGCUUUGGGUGGGUUUAACUCAUUUUGAUAGGUGGGCCAGAUGCUCUUUCCAGCCACAGAUAAAACAGGUUGUGACCUCAAAGGGCCCAUUUAUUUUCAAGUUUUUAUUCUGUCAACAUAGAAGGCCUUUUGCUUUUUGAUCCAAACUCUCCUCUCAUUUAUUUGUUUUUUCUUCCCUCUUAUGCUUGAAAGUUUUGAAGUUACCCAUCUCCCUAUGGUGCCAGAGAGCUCCAGACUUAUCUGUGGCCUGGCUGAGCACUGCAGGCUUCAUAGCCUUGACCUGUGAAACCCCAGUUGGAUUUUUCUGUGAAUUCUUUUUAGAAUUGAUCCAGCCCAAUUAAAUCAAUGAGCUUCCCUCUGGUAUCUGUCUUUGCAUCCUUCACUUGUGGAUUUAGCAUCUCCUUCAACCUUUUCCAAAUUGUACCACUCAUUCUCCAGGCUGAAGAUGAAAGCGUCUAGAUUUAUGAUCUUGUUUUAUUUUUAUUUUUUUCAUUUUUAAAGUUUUACUGGAGUCCCCGUUGUGGCUCAUCAGUAAUGAACCUGACUAAUAAUCAUUGGAAUGUGAGUUCCAUCCCUGGUCUCCCUUAGUGGGUUAAGUAUUUGGCCUUGCUGUGAACUGUGGUGUAGGUUGCAGAUG
rnacentral:lncRNA from 1 species